GGAUGUGAGGGCGAUCUAGCUGCUACAUCUCUCUUCCCACUGAUCGCCAGGGUUGGUUGGGCUGAUCUAGCUGGCUAGGCAGGUGUCACAUUCCUCCCUCAUUGCUCGAUAUGCAUCCCUCCAGCUCCAUCUAAGACGACAACCUUGCCCGAAUAAAGGAGGACCUGUCUUCGAUCAAGGGUAUAUGAGUAUCAGCGUUCCCCUGCUAGAACCUCCAAACACGCUCUCUGUCAUCAAAGGCCAUUCUUUAAGUAUUUAUUUAAGGUUAAUGGAAUUGUAUAAAAUAAAUACUUACAAAAUUAAACAAGAAGUAAGUACUUGAAUGUUUUAUUUAUUUU
rfam:Mesocricetus auratus contig036740, whole genome shotgun sequence.